UACGUAGGGUGCAAGCGUUGUCCGGAAUUAUUGGGCGUAAAGAGCUCGUAGGCGGUGUGUCGCGUCGGCCGUGAAAACCUGCAGCUUAACUGUGGGCUUGCGGUCGAUACGGGCAUCACUGGAGUUCGGCAGGGGAGACUGGAAUUCCUGGUGUAGCGGUGAAAUGCGUAGAUAUCUGGAGGAACACCGGUGGCGAAGGCGGCGACCUGGGUAGAUACUGACGCUGAGGCGCGAAAGCGUGGGGAGCAAACAGG
rnacentral:rRNA from 1 species